UUCGACAAGAUUCCGUGAAUUAAGCGUAACCGUCUACACGUGUUGAAAAUUUCCUUUUUUUACCGGUACGUUCAUUAUUACCCGGUCAUCCUUUCUGCCUAUAUAAAGAGGAACUAGGUAGAAAUACGAUCUUCUUUCUUUACUUCAUCUUCUUUGUUUCAUCAUCUUUGUAAAUUCUCACCGUCUGCAACUUUUCUUCAACUGCUUUUCUUUCUGCUUCUGCUUUAAUGGAGUCAUCAAGUAAAAGUACUUCUAAUACCAACUUUACCAUUCAAAACCCUAACAUUUCCAAGAAUUCGUAAUCCAAAGUACUUGCGAAGAAAAGGAAGUCUACAAACCGCAAGGAUGAUGGUGGUGCCAACAAGCUUCCCAAGAAAUCUCAAUAUCUUAAGGGUGUUGCAACCACUGUUCCAUUUUCCAAGUUGAGCUUCUCAAAGUCUCCAGUAGUUCCGACACAAUCUGAGCCUCUUCUUCCUAUUCGCGAAAAUAUCACCAGAGAACCCUUUGUCUCAAAUGACUUUCCUGUAAAUGAGGUUCCUUCAUCUACAUCGAAUGAAGCCUCUCCUUUUCUAACUGUUGACACUUCUCAAACUGAUUCAACUUCAA